GACUAACGCUGGCGGAAUGCAUCAUACAUGCAAGUCGAACGAUGAGGCUCUUUCGGGAGUACAUCAGUGGCGGACGGGUGAGUAACGCGUAGAUAACGUGCCUUGCACUGGGGGACAACAGUUGGAAACGACUGCUAAUACCGCAUAAGACAUUUGACACAAGUUGAAUGUUUAAAGCUCCGGCGGUGCAAGAUCGGUCUGCGUCGGAUUAGCUUGUUGGUGGGGUAAUGGCCCACCAAGGCAACGAUCCGUAGCUGGUCUGAGAGGAUGAUCAGCCACAGUGGGACUGAGACACGGCCCACACUCCUACGGGAGGCAGCAGUAGGGAAUAUUGCGCAAUGGGCGAAAGCCUGACGCAGCAAUUCCGCGUGGAGGACGAAGUUUCUUGGAACGUAAACUCCUUUCGGUGGUGACGAAUAUGACGGUAACCACAGAAGAAGCACCGGCUAACUACG
rnacentral:rRNA from 1 species